rnacentral:tRNA from 3 species
GCCCGGGUGGCGGAAAGGCAUACGCACAACACUUAAAAUGUUGCGGUCGUAAGACCAUGUGGGUUCGACUCCCACCCCGGGCACAA